rnacentral:tRNA from 1 species
CGGGCUGUGGCGCAGUUGGUAGCGCGCGCGAUUCGGGUUCGCGAGGUCGUGGGUUCAAAUCCCGCCAGCCCGACCA